GACAGAGGCCACGAACGUUGUUCGGAAUCACUGGGCAUAAAGCGCACGUAGGCGGCUAGGUCCGUCCGAUGUGAAAGCCCCGGGCUUAACCUGGGAACUGCGUUUGAAACUGGGAGACUUGAGUGUGGCAGAGGGGGGUGGAAUUCCACGUGUAGCAGUGAAAUGCGUAGAUAUGUGGAGGAACACCGAUGGCGAAGGCAGCCCCCUGGGUUAACACUGACGCUCAUGCACGAAAGCGUGGGGAGCAAACAGG
rnacentral:rRNA from 1 species